rnacentral:lncRNA from 1 species
UUUUAGUGACUUAAAGAAAUUGGCAAACCAUGUUUAAAUCAGAUGAAGGAGGGUGUCAUUUCUUUCCAGUCCACAGCGGAUCCUCUCGUGUCACCUUGAUGCGCAGCAUAUCGGAGCAUCCACAGACAGCCAUUACUGCGGAUCUGCUGUCCUCUCAUUCACAGCAGCAGCAGCAGCAGCAUCACCAGCGUACAGUAUUGCAGUAAAACAAAUCAGGAUCAAAGAAGGAACUCAUUCCGCAAUUAUCCACCCAGACACUACUGUUCUUCGGGUGUGAACACCAAUUCAGAUUUUUGAUGCUGAACUUACACUGAGCCUGGCGUCUGGGUCUCUAGUUGUGGAAGCAUUGAGGCGGGACCCUCAGCUCCAGUGCCAGUUGUAUUCUGUGGUCAUUUCCUAACCUAGAGACCCU